AGUGAACGCUGGCGGUAGGCCUAACACAUGCAAGUCGAACGGCAGCACAGUAAGAGCUUGCUCUUACGGGUGGCGAGUGGCGGACGGGUGAGGAAUACAUCGGAAUCUACUUUUUCGAGGGGGAUAACGUAGGGAAACUUACGCUAAUACCGCAUACGACCUACGGGUGAAAGCAGGGGAUCUUCGGCUCUUGCGCGAUUGUAUGAGCCGAUGUCGGAUUAGCUAGUUGGCGGGGUAAAGGCCCACCAAGGCGACGAUCCGUAGCUGGUCUGAGAGGAUGAUCAGCCACACUGGAACUGAGACACGGUCCAGACUCCUACGGGAGGCAGCAGUGGGGAAUAUUGGACAAUGGGCGCAAGCCUGAUCCAGCCAUACCGCGUGGGUGAAGAAGGCCUUCGGGUUGUAAAGCCCUUUUGUUGGGAAAGAAAAGCAGCAGGUUAAUACCCCGCUGUUCUGACGGUACCCAAAGAAUAAGCACCGGCUAACUUCGUG
rnacentral:rRNA from 1 species